UCGUGUGCAGCGCAAACGCGGCUCCCGCGGUGUGUCCCGCCUGCAGCGUGAGUUUGCACCACAUCAUUCGCUCACUCUGCCCACUGCUUCCUUUGUUUGUUGUUCCGGAUGGUUCUCCGAUACGGAUGCUGGCAGGCGAAACCACUGAGAGGUCCGUCUAUGCAAGCAUCUGGUUGGCUGCUCUGAUGACUUGCUUUUAUUGAUUCAGCCGUACUUUCAUCUCAGCCUGCGUCCGUCGGCGUUGAAAACAAGAUGACGAUGAAGAAAGAAGAAAGCAAGCACACCACCGCAUCUCCCUUCGAUGACGACGCUGAGUCCUUCAAGAACGAUGGCGAACCUUCAGUCUGUCGCUCCAGAUCUUGCCAUCUACGAUGAGAACUCCGACGCCGAGCACUACUGAUGCGCCAAGAAGCAGAAAUAUUCCUUCCUUAUUGUCCUACUUUUUUGCCUGCUUAUUUAGCUAGGACAACCGGAUAUGUAUCAUGUGAAGUCGACGUAAUCUACCUUUUGCUGUAUCCGUUUAGACUAGACUACCUGUGAGCUAACUUAAUCUGAAUUGUAUUGGUAUUGGUCCGAGAGGACGCCGGAA